rnacentral:rRNA from 1 species
GACGAACGCUGGCGGCGUGCUUAACACAUGCAAGUCGAACGGAAAGGCCCUGCUUUGGUGGGGUGCUCGAGUGGCGAACGGGUGAGUAACACGUGGGUAACCUGCCCUUGACUGUGGGAUAACUACAGGAAACUGGGGCUAAUACCGGAUAGGAGCUCCUGCUGCAUGGUGUGGGUUGGAAAGUUUCGGCGGUUGGGGUUGGACUCGGGGCUUCUCAGCUUGUGGGUGGGGUAGUGGCUUACCAAGGCUUUGACGGGUAGCCGGCCUGAGAGGGUGACCGGCCACAGUGGGACUGAGAUGCGGCCCAGACUCCUACGGGAGGCAGCAGUGGGGAUUAUUGCACAAUGGGCGGAAGCCUGAUGCAGCAACGCCGCGUGCGGGAUGACGGCCUUCGGGUUGUAAACCGCUUUCGCCUGUGACGAAGCGUGAGUGACGGUAAUGGGUAAAGAAGCACCGGCUAACUACGUG